rnacentral:rRNA from 1 species
CCGGCGACCGGCGCACGGGUGAGUACCACGUAUGCGACCUGCCCCCCGCAGGGGGAUAACCGGGAGAAAUCCCGACUAAUACCGCGUAACGCCGCGGACCUGCAUGGGUCUGCGGCCAAAGGAAGCGAUUCCGGCGGGGGAUGGGCAUGCGGCGCAUUAGCUAGUCGGCGGGGUAACGGCCCACCGAGGCGACGAUGCGUAGGGGUUCUGAGAGGAAGGUCCCCCACACUGGUACUGAGACACGGACCAGACUCCUACGGAAGGCAGCAG